GUUUCAAAAUAAAAAGUAUCAAAGAAUGUUGUUGCUAGUGGCUAUGCUUGUGGGAUAGAUUAAAGGUGCCAUGAUCUCAAGAGGGAGGGUUUUUCAGUGUCCUCCCUUUACCUGAAAUGGCUGAACAGAAAUAU
rnacentral:snoRNA from 1 species